rnacentral:lncRNA from 1 species
GGCUUUAGCUGGCGGGUCAGGCAAAAAUCUAGGCCUGGGCUUCUAUUCAGGAACUAUUCGAAACACCAUCCGUUGGGCUGCCUAGCUUCUACUCUCUCUCAGAUGUGUUCUUUUCUAAAUGAAUACUUUAUGAAGUCUAUUUGAGUGAGACAGGUAGAGUUUUUAAAGGAAAAGUAGGGAAGGAGCCCUGCCUGAUCUUAUCAAGUAGAUGGAAUCUUUACAAGGAUAGGGAGAAAAGAAAACUAAAAAUACAAAAUAAACCAACAAAAGACAAGUUAAAGUUAAAAGAGAAGCAGGAUGGAGAAUAUAUACGUACGUUUCUUCCCUUUUACAUGUUAUGUCCAUCUUCGCAGCACGUGAGAUAAGAUUGAUGAUCUGAUUUUGAUUGCUGCUACUAUUGUUACAGAUCUGGUUGUUCCUUUCAGUCCAAAUUGACCAUGGGAUGAUGGCUAGAACGAACCAUAUCCGAAGAGAAGUUGGGGCAGUAAGUGUGAAAUGAUUAAGUUAUCCAGCGUACGAGAGGUAGAUACAAAUGAAGAAAAAUUCAAUCUCAACAAUUUCUUCAAAUGGCGUUCUCAUCCUCUACCUGAUCUUGUUUACAACCUUUCUCCUUGUUCUC